UACAGAGGGUGCAAGCGUUAAUCGGAAUUACUGGGCGUAAAGCGUGCGUAGACGGUAGCGUAAGUCGGGUGUGAAAGCCCCGGGCUCAACCUGGGAAUUGCAUUCGAGACUGCUCUGCUAGGGUGCGGAAGAGGGAAGCGGAAUUUCCGGUGUAGCGGUGAAAUGCGUAGAGAUCGGGUGGAACACCAGUGGCGAAGGCGCCUAUCUGGCUGACAACUGACGCUGAGACUCGAAAGCAUGGGGAGCAAACAGG
rnacentral:rRNA from 1 species